UGCUUAUGGUUGGGACAUUGCAUGAGCUUUCCAUUAAAUCUCUCCCACACCUCAUAUAGAGCUUCUCCAUUCAAUUAAUGAAAAUUGGUAAUUUCCUCAUGCA
rnacentral:snoRNA from 1 species